rnacentral:rRNA from 1 species
AUACGUAGGGAGCAAGCGUUGUCCGGAAUUACUGGGCGUAAAGGGUGCGUAGGCGGUUUGAUAAGUCAGAUGUGAAAUACCUGGGCUCAACUCGGGGGCUGCAUUUGAAACUGUCAAACUUGAGUGCAGGAGAGGAAAGCGGAAUUCCUAGUGUAGCGGUGAAAUGCGUAGAUAUUAGGAGGAACACCAGUGGCGAAGGCGGCUUUCUGGACUGUAACUGACGCUGAGGCACGAAAGCGUGGGGAGC